UGACUUUCUUUCUUCCUUCCUCUUUUCUUUUCUUUUUCUUAUUUAUUUAUUUAUUUCUUUGUUAAAGUCUUUUUCUCCAAGUCUCAGCUGCAGGGACAUUUUGGUCUUUGUUUUGUACCAGAGCCAACCCUAGUUUGUCACUAUAAAAACCCUGUCAAUCAUUGAGAAAUGGGUCAGAGAAAAAAUCACUGUAGCAGCUGCAGCAACCACCAUAAGAAACCCUAAUCUUUCAUCUCUCCCAACUUUUUCAGAUCAAAGAAAAAAUAAAAAAAUACACAACAAUCAUCAUGAAUAUUCAUAGCCAUGCAUCAUGAACAUUAUCCUCUUCCAUUCUAGGAACCAAAAUUCUUCAUAAUAAUAAACCAACAAAAACACUUUCUCACAAAAAUCAUCAAUAAACAAGUCACAUAACACCACAAUCACAAACAACAUCACACAAUCACAACAAAAAAAAAAAACUUGCGCCGGACCGGAUUCAGGGGAGGAAACCGAACCGGAAAAGGAAAGAAACGGAACGGAGGAAGCCACCAGACCAAAGGGAGAAAACCGGAUCGGAGAGAGAGAGAGGUAGUUUUUUUUUGCUCAUUUUCUUUGAAUAUUCUUUGUUAGAUCUAGGCUUGUAGAAGCUUGUUUUCAAAAAUCUAAGUUGGGAUUCAUGCAAAACAAGAAAAAGGAUUUCUAAAAACGUAAAAAAAUUUCAAAACGGAGGAGUUUUGGUUGCUCCGGCGCGGCGGCGCCGCCUGUUGGCCGGCAGCCACCACGCCGGAAAGUCAUAGCUUGGCCGGAGAAGAAGGCUGCAAUUGCAGACCUUCUCUCACUAGAAAUUUUUAGAGAGAGGGAGGAAAGGAAAA
rnacentral:lncRNA from 1 species